GAUAAUAAAUAGUUAAUAAAUAAUAAUAAUAUUAUAAUUAGUUAUAAUAAUGAUAGUUAGUAAAUAAUGAUAAUGAUGAUAAUAGUAAUGAAUAUACAAAAAAAAUAAAAUAAAAAAAAUAAAUAAAUAAAUAAAGAAAAGAAGAAAAGAAAAGAAAGAGAAUGAGGGGUGGUGUAUACAUAAUUCGGGGAUGGUACUCACCCCACUUGUUGGCACUAACCAAGAUAAAAUCUAAAUAAUAUAAUGAACUUACUCAUAAAUUUAUUAAUAAUAUCAAUUAAUAAUAAGUAAUUAAAUAGUUAAAAGAAUAAAAUGAAAAAAAAAAAUUAAAGGAAAAAGAUCAGUACUGGAUGAGGAACCGCCCCAUUUGUCCAUCAUUCCCAUUAAUAAAAACAAAAAUUGACUAAAUCAAAUCCUUCAACAAAAGACCAAUAGGGUGGUGCCACGUGGCCACCCUUUAUAAAAACAAAAUAGACAACAAAUUGAAAGCAACACAUCCAUGAUUCAUUUGACAGCAAAAGAAAACAACGAUGCCAUUUUUCAGUCUCUCAUUUUUUCAAGACAAAAGCAAAUCUGAGAAAACCAGAUAGUUUUCUUUCCAAGUCCAAAAAUAAAGGUAACCAGUAGAUCCAGAUUUCAUCUCUUCAAAUUCUUAUUUAAAUAGAAAACAAAUAAAACUGAAAGAUAGUUACCGGUUAUGCCGAAAUCAGAAGCGAAUAUGUGAACUGAAGUGGCGGAGCAACACAGUUUCGGUGACGACGAGCACACGUAUGGUGGUCGAAGGCGUUGCCGGAUUUCUUCGGCGGUGAGGGUCACGGUGGUUGUGAAUGGUGAUGUGAUAUUCUGAAGCUACGUUACCAAAUCUCGUCGGUAGUGGAGGAUGUUAGGUUCACGCGUGCUUUUAUGUUGGAUCGGUCAAGGUCGUCAUUUGUUGCGUUGGUGGUGGAUCCGCAAGGAAGAAGAAGCUCUUCUUCAGCUUCUCUAUUUUUUUUUAAGUUUCUAUUUGUUUAUCUUUUGUUCAUGAUUUCUGAGUUGGAGCUGGUGUGUUUGGUUUUAUGAGUUAUAUGUUGCUUUAUUCUAUGAAGUGUUUGUGGUUGAAUGAAGGUUGCUUCUAUGGAGGAAGAGUGAUUGGUUUUUCGCAGUGAGGGUGAGCGGUUUAGCGAUGGGGAGAUGCACGAAAGUGAAAAAGAUUGAAGUGUGAAAGAUGAUGGAGAAGUGAUAUGAAGUGUUGUGAGGUUGAUGUGUUAUGGGGCUCAAGAGGAAAGUCCUUUGUAGUUUUUCAAUGUCAACCCAAGUAGCAGGACAUUAAGUACAUCAUAACAGAAAAUGUGAUCAUUGAUUUGGAGUAUCACGUGUGAUGAGAAGAUGCUAAUGCUAAUGUUAGCAAAAAUUAUUUUAUUUCUAUUUCUCUUUUUUUUGUUUUAUUUUGAAAUAUGUUAGUUAGAAAAUAAGAUAAAAAUAAUCUACUAUUUUCAAUAAAACCAAAUUAAUUACUCAUUAAAUCCUAGUUAAUUCAAAUAAUUAUUUUGAUUAAAAAUAUAUAAAUAUAUAAAAAAAGAUAAAAAGGAACAAAAAUCGGGCACAAAAAUGCCCAAAAAAAACAAAUGCACUAAAAUAAUCAAUGCUAAAUAAAUUCUCAAAAACAUCUAGAUUUUUGAUCAAAAUUUGAAAUAAAUCGACCGAUAAAAAGGCUCGGGUGGACAAAAAUG
rnacentral:lncRNA from 1 species